GAUCCUGGCUUAGGAUGAACGCUAGCGACAGGCUUAACACAUGCAAGUCGAGGGGCAGCACGGGAGUAGCAAUACAACGUGGUGGCGACCGGCGCACGGGUGAGUAACGCGUAUGCAACCUACCUAUCAGGAGGGGAAUAACCCGGCGAAAGUCGGACUAAUACCGCAUAAAACAGGGGCACCGCAUGGUGAUAUUUGUUAAAGAGAUUCGCUGAUAGAUGGGCAUGCGUUCCAUUAGGUAGUUGGUGAGGUAACGGCUCACCAAGCCGACGAUGGAUAGGGGAACUGAGAGGUUGGUCCCCCACACUGGUACUGAGACACGGACCAGACUCCUACGGGAGGCAGCAGUGAGGAAUAUUGGUCAAUGGGCGGGAGCCUGAACCAGCCAAGUCGCGUGAAGGAAGAAGGAUCUAUGGUUCGUAAACUUCUUUUGCAGGGGAAUAAAGUGCAGGACGUGUCCUGUUUUGUAUGUACCCUGAGAAUAAGGAUCGGCUAACUCCGUGCCAGCCGCAGC
rnacentral:rRNA from 1 species